rnacentral:rRNA from 1 species
GACGAACGCUGGCGGCGUGCUUAACACAUGCAAGUCGAGCGGAAAGGCUCCUUCGGGGGUACUCGAGCGGCGAACGGGUGAGUAACACGUGAGUAAUCUGCCCUGUGCUCUGGGAUAGCCACCGGAAACGGUGAUUAAUACCGGAUACAACCACUAUAGGCAUCUGUUGGUGGUGGAAAGUUUUUUCGGCAUGGGAUGUGCUCGCGGCCUAUCAGCUUGUUGGUGAGGUAAUGGCUCACCAAGGCUUUGACGGGUAGCCGGCCUGAGAGGGUGACCGGUCACACUGGGACUGAGACACGGCCCAGACUCCUACGGGAGGCAGCAGUGGGGAAUAUUGGACAAUGGGCGGAAGCCUGAUCCAGCAACGCCGCGUGAGGGAUGACGGCCUUCGGGUUGUAAACCUCUUUCAGUACCGACGAAGCGAAAGUGACGGUAGGUACAGAAGAAGGACCGGCCAACUACGUGCCAGCCGCCGCCGUAACAC